AUUGAACGCUGGCGGCAGGCCUAACACAUGCAAGUCGAGCGGAAACGAGUUAUCUGAACCUUCGGGGAACGAUAACGGCGUCGAGCGGCGGACGGGUGAGUAAUGCCUAGGAAAUUGCCCUGAUGUGGGGAUAACCAUUGGAAACGAUGGCUAAUACCGCAUAAUACCUACGGGUCAAAGAGGGGGACCUUCGGGCCUCUCGCGUCAGGAUAUGCCUAGGUGGGAUUAGCUAGUUGGUGAGGUAAUGGCUCACCAAGGCGACGAUCCCUAGCUGGUCUGAGAGGAUGAUCAGCCACACUGGAACUGAGACACGGUCCAGACUCCUACGGGAGGCAGCAGUGGGGAAUAUUGCACAAUGGGCGCAAGCCUGAUGCAGCCAUGCCGCGUGUGUAAGCUUCGGGUUAAACUUUCAGUCGUGA
rnacentral:rRNA from 1 species